AGCAUUACGAAUCCGUGCUGAGGUUUCGUCCGAUACCAACCCAUUAGGGCUGAUCAGACUUCCAAGAUAUGUGAAGUU
rfam:Schistosoma mattheei strain Denwood, Zambia genome assembly, scaffold: SMTD_scaffold0034655